rnacentral:rRNA from 1 species
GAUGAACGCUGGCGGCGUGCCUAAUACAUGCAAGUCGAGCGAACGGACGAGACGCUUGCUUCUCUGAUGUUAGCGUCGGACGGGUGAGUAACACGUGGAUAACCUACCUAUAAGACUGGGAUAACUUCGUGAAACCGGAGCUAAUACCGGCUAAUAUUUUGAACCGCAUGGUUCAAAAGUGAAAGACGGUCUUGCUGUCACUUAUAGAUGGAUCCGCGCUGCAUUAGCUAGUUGGUAAGGUAACGGCUUACCAAGGCAACGAUGCAUAGCCGACCUGAGAGGGUGAUCGGCCACACUGGAACUGAGACACGGUCCAGACUCCUACGGGAGGCAGCAGUAGGGAAUCUUCCGCAAUGGGCGAAAGCCUGACGGAGCAACGCCGCGUGAGUGAUGAAGGUCUUCGGAUCGUAAAACUCUGUUAUUAGGGAAGAACAUAUGUGUAAGUAACUGUGCACAUCUUGACGGUACCUAAUCAAAAAGCCACGGCUAACUACGUG